UACGUAGGGUGCAAGCGUUGUCCGGAAUUAUUGGGCGUAAAGAGCUCGUAGGCGGUCUGUCGCGUCUGCUGUGAAAAUCCAGGGCUCAACCCUGGACCUGCAGUGGGUACGGGCAGACUAGAGUGCGGUAGGGGAGAUCGGAAUUCCUGGUGUAGCGGUGAAAUUCGUAGAUAUCGGGAGGAACACCAGUGGCGAAGGCGGCGACCUGGACGGACACUGACGCUGAGGAGCGAAAGCGUGGGGAGCGAACAGG
rnacentral:rRNA from 1 species